UACGUAAGGGGCAAGCGUUGUCCGGAUUUAUUGGGCGUAAAGAGCGUGUAGGCGGCCAGAUAGGUCAGCUGUGAAAACUUGAGGCUCAACCUCGAGACGCAGGUUGAAACCAUUUGGCUAGAGUCCGGAAGAGGAGAGUGGAAUUCCUGGUGUAGCGGUGAAAUGCGCAGAUAUCAGGAAGAACACCCGUGGCUAAGGCGGCUCUCUAGUACGGUACUGACGCUGAGACGCGAAAGCGUGGGGAGCGAACAGG
rnacentral:rRNA from 1 species